rnacentral:rRNA from 1 species
UACGGAGGGUGCAAGCGUUAUCCGGAAUCACUGGGUUUAAAGGGUGCGUAGGCGGCUUAGUAAGUCAGGAGUGAAAGCCUGCGGCUUAACCGUAAAAAUGCUUUUGAUACUGCUGAGCUUGAAUUAGGUUGAGGUUGGCGGAAUGUGACAUGUAGCGGUGAAAUGCAUAGAUAUGUCAUAGAACACCAAUUGCGAAGGCAGCUGACUAGACCUGAAUUGACGCUGAGGCAAGAAAGCGUGGGGAGCGAACAGG